GAGAGACACAGGCAGAGCAUGUCAAAUACAUAAGUGAAUGCUAAGCAGCAAACCACUGAACUGAGGAAGGGACCCCCACUGGAGGAAUUAGAGAAAGGAUUGAAAGAGCUGUUGAAGGGGCUUGCAACCCCAUAAGAACAACAAUGCCAACCAACCAGAGCUCCCAGUGACUAAACCACCAUCCAAAGAGUACACAUGGACAGACCCAUGGCUCCAGCUGCAUAUGUAGCAGAGGAUGGCCUUGUUGGGCACCAAUGGAAGGAGAAUCCCUUGGUCCUGCCAAGGUUGGACCCCCAGUGUAGAGGAAUGUCGGGGGAGGGCAGGAAGGAGGUGGUAGAUGGGGAGGGGAACACCCUUAUAGAAGAAGGGGAGGGGGAUGGGAUAGGGGGCUUAUGUCUGGGAAACUGGGAAAGGAAAUAACAUUUGAAAUGUAAAUAAAAAACAUCCAA
rnacentral:lncRNA from 1 species